rnacentral:pre_miRNA from 1 species
UUUCUGCUCCUCCUCUCAAAUCCUUGGCACCUAGGUGUGAGUGCUGUUUCAGUGCAACACACCUAUUCAAGGAUUCAAAGAGGCUGAGCC